rnacentral:pre_miRNA from 1 species
CAACUACUCCCUCCGUCCCAUAUUAAGUGACUCAAAUUUGUCCAAAUAUGGAUGUAUCUAUGCCUAAAAACGUCUAGAUACAUGUAAUAGAAAGUCACUUAAUAUGGGACAGAGGGAGUAUAUU